CUGCAGGAAGUAGCUCUGCGAUUUACUUCCUGUCAGAGGGCUAUUGGGGACAGGAAUGGAGAGGAGGUUUACAGCUUGUAAUAAUGCUGGUGCUCCUCAUUGGGGGAUGAUUGGCUGGUGGCCCUGCACCCAGGUUUAAGCGAGGCUGGAGAAGCAGCAGCAGUUAGCUUCUUUUGCUCUUUGAUUUUGUGUUUUGUUCUUUGAGGGUGGGGGUCUGGUAGUCCAGCUUUCAGUUCUUUGUUUCUUAGUUUAGUUACAAUGAUUUUGUUAGGUUUGAUAGUUUAGGUGGGGAAGCUCUGGGUCCAGACUUCCUCCAUCCCUUUGUUCUUCUGGGUCAGACCUCCAGACUCCCACAGUUUUUGUUAUUAUGUGGUAUUUGUUUCUGGCAUUAUUUGUAAAUAAAAUAAUUUUGCAUUAAAACUGA